CAAUAGCGUAUAUUAAAGUUGUUGACGGUUAAAAAGCUCGUAGUUGGAUUUCUGCUGAGGACGACCGGUCCGCCCUUCGGGUGAGUAUCUGGUUUGGCCUUGGCAUCUUCUUGGUGAACGUAUCUGCACUUGACUGUGUGGUGCGGCAACCCAGGACUUUUACUUUGAGGAAAAUUAGAGUGUUUCAAGCAGGCAUACGCCUUGAAUACAUUAGCAUGGAAUAAUAAGAUAGGACCUCGGUUUCUAUUUUGUUGGUUUCUAGAGCUGAGGUAAUGAUUAAUAGGGAUAGUUGGGGGCCAUUCGUAUUUAACUGUCAGAGGUGAAAUUCUUGGAUUUGUUAAAACGACGGACUACUGCG
rnacentral:rRNA from 1 species